UCAUUUUUGUGGAAUGACUGCACGUCUACACGGUUCAACAUUCUAGCCAUACCUCUUCAUCCUGGAAUCCUGGUUCUUCCAGCACAACUUGAUCCUCCUUCAUAUUGAAAGGCAUGGUAGAGAACGGACACCUGGAAUAUUUGCUCAACCUCUCCAAGCCCCAGUGUCCUCCCAGGAGAAAUGGAGAUGAAACCCAACAACAUGGGCAGGCUUCAGCCAAAAGUUCUCCCAAUUCUUGGAUAAGGAUUCAUCCAGGUGUGUUAGAAGGUGAGGGGUUAUGGAAACGCACUUCCUUUUUCUGAGUUGGUUUUGACUCCUUGGUAAUUAAUCAGGGCUUGAGAGUGACGAGGGAGAGAGGCUCAACUUCUGUCUUGUUUCUCGUUUCCUCCCCUCCUUUCCCUUCCUGUGGGGGGAAACCAAAAAGACUUUACAAAACUCAGAUCCAAAACCCCGUGUGGUUUCUUCAAAGGUUGCGCUGGAAUCUUGAUGGAUGGUGAAAGAAAAAGCUGACAAAUGAACCAAUGACAACGGCAAACAGCAAAUGACUGGCGCAGGGUCCCCUCAUCCAUCUUCUGAGCGCUGACUGAGGGCCUGCUGGGUGCCAGGCACUGAACUUGGCCCCUAAGGAAACAAGCUCUCUUGAGAGAGCUCCCCAAAUCGUCACUCUGGGGAGAUGGACAAGCGGACAGGCAAAUAAUUGAAAACGGAGAGGGUAACAGAUUGACUACAACCAAGCAUGAAGGAUCUUUCUGGGAUAAUGAAAAAGUUCUAACACUGGAUUGUAGCAGCUGUUGUUGCAAAACUCUGUAAAUCUACUAAAAUUAAUUGAAUCGUCUGCUUAAAAUGGGCAAAUUUUAUGGUAAAUUAGACCUCCAUGAUAUUAUAAAGUAAGAGUAACAAUUAUUAUAACACAGCACUUAAAAUAAUAUU